GCCAGGCACGGUGGCUUGUGCCUGUAGUCCCAGCCACUCGGGAGGCUGAGGUGGGAGGAUCCCUUGAGCCCAGGAGUUCUGGGCUGUAGUGCACUAUGCUGAUCGGGUGUCCGCACUAAGUUCGGCAUCAAUAUGGUGACCUCCCGGGAGCGGGGGACCACCAGGUUGCCUAAGGAGGGGUGAACCCGCCCAGGUCGAAAACGGAGCAGGUCAAAACUCCUGUGCUGAUCAGUAGUGGGAUCACGCCUGUGAAUAGCCACUGAACCCCAGCCCGGGCAGCUCAGCAAGACCCCGUCUCUU
ensembl:misc_RNA Metazoa_SRP Metazoan signal recognition particle RNA